UCCGAUCCUUGCCUCCGGGGAGAGAGCACGGGUUUGCGUCCGCGCCGGGGCUGAGGGCGCGGGGGCCCUCCGGCCUGCGUGGCCCCAGCCCGGGGUCCCCGCCGCCGCCUCGGCUCAGCAGCAGCCGCCGCUGCAGCCGCCGCCACCGCCGCCGCUCCUUAGACCGCCUCCUCUUCCCAUGGCUGCGCCCUGCUUGGCAGCUCGCGGGCUGUCAGGCUCGGGGAGGGGAGGGGGUGGGGUGAAACGGGAAAGGAAGAUGGGAGGGGAUGGGUGGGAAACGGCGGCCGCCGUUCACCGGGGGUCACGCCGGGCCCGGCCCGCGGUUCCCCAGUCCUGGGCUGCCGAAAAGAGGGGAAGCGGGAGUUCAGGGAGGCCGGUUCGAGACCCGCUGCGGAGACGCAGAGCGGCGUCCGGGCCACGCAUUCCGAGGAGCUGGGAUGAAGCGUUCCCGGGCGAGGAGUUGGAGUUGGUGCGUGUCACUCAUCUGGGCUUCGCGGCUCCUCCUAGAGGAAAAUAUUGGUAGUUGCAGGACACUUCCUUCCUCUCCGCCCACCCGUUCCCGAAGAGAAGGCAGAACCUAGAAGAGGACUUCUCUAAGGGCAUCGUGAAAACCCAAGCAGAAGACCACUGAAUCCCUCAUGAAAGCAACAGACCUGCCUACCGCCCAGCAUCUACCCGGGAAGCCAGGAAAGGGCAGGUGAGGGGAUGAACUGCUGGAGAAUUACUGGCUGGAGAAAAACCCUUCAGGAGAGCAAGGACCGUGUUGAGGAGAGAAGGUAUCUCCUCCAGUUCAAUCCUUCAGACAUCUAACUUCAUCCUGGCAUCUGCUUCUCAGACAACUUGAAAUGAUUCGCAUUUGAAUUGAGUGGACCCUAACUUGCAAUAAUGAUAAAAAUUAUUUUAACUUUCAAGUACUUUUUUGAAAAACUUUUAAGCACUGCUUGGAAGCUUGUUCCAACAAAAGUCAUUUCUGUCUGGUGUGUUUUAGAUAAUUUAUUUACAAGGAGGCCUUCAAUGAGGGACCCCUUAUCUGAACAAUAGAGCCUUUGUUGUUUAAAAUGCUAUGAGAGAAUCCUCAUGGACUUGGCUUUCUCUCUGACCCAAGUACAAUUUGCCGGUCAGCCAAAAAGAGUUGCUUUAAUGCCAGUUGGCCAUAACUGUUGAUUGGCAUUUCAUUGGCUAUACUUUGUAAAAAUAUGUUUGAUGUUCAGGUUCUGAGUUCUGAUGUGCAGAAUUCAAAUAACCAGUUCCAUCAAAUACUAAAGAUGACAUAGGAUUUUUCUGACAUUUUUUGUUUAAAAUGAUAAUCUAUUCAUUGAGGGUGACCAAGUCUGAUUUUAAUAUGACAAGAUACCAGAUUCCAAUUCAGUUAAUGAAAAAGGAUAAAUCAAGAGGGCUGGUUUUCUUACAUGUUUUCAGUCACAUAUGUAUGUAUCUAUAAUUUAUUCAUUUGCCUUGCAUGAGAUCAUCCACUUUUACAUAGACCUUCUUCAAAGUGGCUUGGUUUUACACAAGCACUUAGGGUGUGCAAGCAACCCAGGUUCAAUACU